GGGGAAAAAGAUAACUAAUCAAAAACCCUGAUUGUAUUCUCUAACCAGAAUUCAGCUCAUUCGGGAUCAUCUUUGGCAGCGGCUCAAAAUUCUUCAACCUCGUACUUACGUAUCUUAUCAAAAGAAGGCUUGCUAACUCGGAUUGGUUCCAUACCUUGAGGAAUAACAGGAACUGGUUUGGGAACAGGAGGGGUGGAGG
rnacentral:lncRNA from 1 species